AAGCCCAGCUUGCUGGGUGGAUUAGUGGCGAACGGGUGAGUAACACGUGAGUAACCUGCCCCCGACUCUGGGAUAAGCCCGGGAAACUGGGUCUAAUACCGGAUAUGACCUCGCACCGCAUGGUGCGGGGUGGAAAGAUUUAUCGGUGGGGGAUGGACUCGCGGCCUAUCAGCUUGUUGGUGAGGUAAUGGCUCACCAAGGCGACGACGGGUAGCCGGCCUGAGAGGGUGACCGGCCACACUGGGACUGAGACACGGCCCAGACUCCUACGGGAGGCAGCAGUGGGGAAUAUUGCACAAUGGGCGAAAGCCUGAUGCAGCGACGCCGCGUGAGGGAUGACGGCCUUCGGGUUGUAAACCUCUUUCAGUAGGGAAGAAGCGAAAGUGACGGUACCUGCAGAAGAAGCGCCGGCUAACUACGUGCCAGCAGCCGCGGUAAUACGUAGGGCGCAAGCGUUAUCCGGAUUUAUUGGGCGUAAAGAGCUCGUAGGCGGUUUGUCGCGUCUGCCGUGAAAGUCCGAGGCUCAACCUCGGAUCUGCGGUGGGUACGGGCAGACUAGAGUGAUGUAGGGGAGACUGGAAUUCCUGGUGUAGCGGUGAAAUGCGCAGAUAUCAGGAGGAACACCGAUGGCGAAGGCAGGUCUCUGGGCAUUUACUGACGCUGAGGAGCGAAAGCAUGGGGAGCGAACAGGAUUAGAUACCCUGGUAGUCCAUGCCGUAAACGUUGGGCACUAGGUGUGGGGGACAUUCCACGUUUUCCGCGCCGUAGCUAACGCAUUAAGUGCCCCGCCUGGGGAGUACGGCCGCAAGGCUAAAACUCAAAGGAAUUGACGGGGCCCGCACAAGCGCGGAGCAUGCGAUAUCGAUGCACGCGAGACUACAGCUGACAUGUGCAGACCGCUCCAGAGAUGGGUUCCUUCGGGCUGAUUCACAA
rnacentral:rRNA from 1 species